GAGAGAGGCUGGCAGCAACGAAAACUGCUAAUUUUCGUCACCUUGGUUAGACCCCGAGGCUCACUCG
rnacentral:tRNA from 1 species